ensembl:lncRNA
GGAGAGAAGCCGUACGAGUGUAAGGAAUGUGGGAAAACCUUUGCCUACAGCUCAUGUCUCAUUCGCCAUCGGAAGCGUCACCCACGGAAAAAGCACUGAGUGCGGGGAGGCUGUCUGCCGAGAUGCGGUGCUUGUGCUAAUGGGAGCCGUCCCUCCUGCAGCAUCUGAUCGGUGCCGGGGGUCCGUGAGCUCAGCACACCUGUGCCCAGGCGUCCCCCUCAUCAUCAGGAAAAUCAAGCCAGUGGAGUAAGCAAGUGCUUGAGCGCGGGAGACACCUUCCUGGUCCAGAGCAUCUCCGGAUCGAGACCCCAUGGUAACGUGGGCAGGGCUCGCGGAAGCGGCACCAGAGACCCUGGAGCUAUCAGCAGCUGUCCGUGGGGCGCGGGAGUCAGCGGCUGCUUGCCGGCGGCCCAGCACCUCCCACGGCGGCCUCUGCCUGUGGCAUCCCCUGUGGUCUCAGCCCUCUCACCUGCUCCUUUGAAGACUUGAGUCUGCAGACUCGACCUGCCGGGCCAUCCCUGUGCAGCCCGGCAGUAGGCCUGUGGCCCUGAGCUGAGAGCCAUGUUCUGUGGUGGUGCCCACGGCGCUGCACCAGAUGCCUGCUGUCCCCACUCAGCUGGCCAUGGUGACAGCGGUUUGUGCUCUGGCUUCCCUCCUCGGGCUGCAGCGCCAGUCCUGGAACUCACCAUUACCACCAUCCCCCACCCCAUCCCCAGGAACUGGACCCCUUGUGUGCCCCCCUGGCCUGGCCCCCGUCCCAGGGGAGCGGCCUGACUCACCCAGGUGGAUCACUUAGGACCUACCUGCUGCCGCCGUGGGAGAUCCCUGCCCUGGACACACGGUGGAGGCCCCAGGAAUGUGAGGGCAACUGUGAGCCAGCCUGCGUCUGCCGUGGGGUCUUCAGACAUGAGGCGGUGCACCCUGCCCCCCAGGAUCGGCUCUCCAGGGCCAACAGGAUGGGUCCCCAGGCACGGAAACAGGUGGAGAUCGUGGCGGCAAGUACCCCCAUCCAGGCUGUGCGGGGUGGGCACCCCGGCGGCACACAGACAGCAGGCUUGCCCUGGCGUCCCCAGCAGCAGGCAGCGAGGUGGACAUUUGCUUGUGCGCACGGGAGUGGCCGUGCACGCCGAUGGCCCUCAGUGCCUCUCCCGGGAAGACGGCAGCUUCAACUGCUUCAGCCUGGAAAAGAGCAACAGAAGAAUACUUUUUAAAAAGCAAGGCUUGGAAAUUUUUUUUUUUGAAUACAGUUUACAGUCAGGAGAAAAAUCACAAAAUCAAAUUCCAUUCAGUGAGUGGCCUUUUCUGCCUCCUGUCGUUCUGGGAGUUUUGAGGAUUUUUCUGUUGUUCAAAUGAAACUCCUGUCCUAGGAAAAAGAAAGCUUUCUCAAUAAUCUGACUCAAGUUAAAAAAACAUGAAACCUAUAAAAUACUCAGACCUCACUGACACUGAGACUAGGACUCGCCAGAGCUUCUCUGGGAGCCACUGAAGCCACACACGGACGUAUAGCCCUAAGCGCUUCCAUCAGCGGCCCGAGCUAGAAAUCAGAGGCUGAGCCUUUGACUUUGAAAACGAUAAAAAGAGCCGCGGAACAAAUGCAAAGUGGCAGAGAGGGAACCACAAAGAGCAGAACCACACAACCAGUGGGAACGGAGGCUGUCGUGGGCAGGAAGCCGGUGGACGCUGCUUGUCUGCAAGGACCGUUCAGGCUGGCAUGGUCCCGCAGCAGGGCCCAGGAAGAGAGCAGGAGCCAACGAAGCAUCGCGAAUGCAAAGGGGACGUGACAGGGGGUAUGUCAGAGAUCAGAAAAGACAAACUCGGAGCCAGGGAACGUGAGCACAGGUGAGGUAGGGAAGCCGGCCCAAGACAAGCGGCCCAAAGACCCCGUGCCUGCCACGCAGAGCGUGUCUGGAGUCUAGAGUCUUCCCCAAAGAACGCAAGUCCAGAAGGCACACAAGUGAGUUCAAGAACCCAUUCCAGUCCUCUGCGGACUCGAAGAUUGAAAAGAGGAAACACGUCACCUUAUUUUAUGAGCUGGGACAGCCACGACGUGCGUGCUCGCGGGCGCAGGGGCCCAAGCACGGUGCCGGCAGACUACGCCCAGCCGGGCAGCAGCGAGCGCGGAGCGCGGCCAGAUGAGGUCUCUUCCAGGAAGGUCAGUUUGGCUUAAAACUGAUGUGAUUUCUCCCAUCAACACGUUGGGGGAGGGGCAUAUUAUCAUCUUAAUAGUUAACUAUGUGCCAAAAUGCACCGUCCCUUAUGAUAAUCUACCUUCAUAAAUAAGGAAUAUAACAGCAUUAUCUAAGCCUGGUACGGAGCGUCUCCCAGCCCCUGGAGCCCCACUGCAGCCUCGUCCCGUGUAGCCGGCGUCCCCUGUGAGCACAGAACACACGAGGGCCGGCCUCACGGCUCCCCCUGUGCCAGGAGCCAGACUAGGAGGAAAAGACACACAUCAGAUUACAGUGGGAAACCCUGAGUGGGUUUAUCAGCAGGUGAGCCUGCCGUCUACGUGGAGUCUGAACACCGUCACCACGGACUGAAACUAAGGGCCCAGCAAGCUUGUCGCAAGUUGGUCAGGAGCAGGAUUCCCGGAGGCCCAGAGGCAGAAGGGGAAGCAGGCUCGUCAGGGACGGGCUCGGGAAGGUUUGCGGCAGGCACUCGUGGUGGCCGUCAGUGGACGCAGCUCGAGUGUCCCUCACCAGACGAACGGACACACGACACGUGGUGCUAGACCCAGGCACAGCCGUCAGCCGUGCGGGAAUGAAGCGCAGACCCAGGCUGCGACCUGCCCCCACCUGAGCCUCGGAAGCCGGCCCGGGACACCGCGGUGUGGCCUGCUCUCCGGAGGGGCCGAGGCGGCGUCCCCCGCACACAGCUGCAGGGUGGAGGUUCCCCGAGGCCAGCACAGGGGAGUCUGGUGGGGGCAGGGUUUCUGUUGGGAACGAUAAGAAGGCUGGGGAAAGAUAAGGGUGUACUUAAUGCCACGGAUUGUACACAAACAAAAUAAUAAACACCGUGUAUAUUUCCCCA